ACAUUUUUACGAAAUCUAACUAAAUUUCUUAGUAAAUCAAAAUUUCAAAAAUAUGAUUUAGUCGUUGGAAUUAGGGUAGAAUGGACUACAAAACAUGGAUUACAAAGCACACAGCACCCAUCACGUGACUACAACUGGUAUACUACUGGAAUAGUUGGAUUUGCAUGGUUUUUAAUUUAGUUGAUAUCCAGUUGUUAUUUUAAUGAUGAUAAUUUGACGUGUUCACUAUGAGAAUUAAGUUAAUAAAUGUUAAAUUAAAAUUUUGAAAUAAAGCUGAA
rnacentral:sRNA from 1 species